rnacentral:rRNA from 1 species
CGUUAGCGGCGGGCCUAACACAUGCAAGUCGUACGAGAACGCUCCUUCGGGAGUUAUUAAAGUGGCGCACGGGUGAGGAACGCGUAGGUAAUCUACCCUCAGGCGGGGGACAACACUCCGAAAGGAAUGCUAAUACCGCGUAAGACCACACUUACUAAGGUGAGAGUGGUAAAAGAUGGCCUCUUCUUGAAAGCUAUCACCAGAGGAUGAGCCUGCGUCCCAUCAGCUUGUUGGUAAGGUAACGGCUUACCAAGGCGAAGACGGGUAGCUGGUCUGAGAGGAUGAUCAGCCACACUGGCACUGGAACACGGGCCAGACUCCUACGGGAGGCAGCAGUGAGGAAUAUUGGGCAAUGGGCGCAGGCCUGACCCAGCCACGCCGCGUGUGUGAUGAAGGCCUUCGGGUCGUAAAGCACUGUGGGGAGGGACGAAAAACCUCCGUUCGAAUAGGGCGGAGGCUUGACGGUACCUCCUUAGCAAGCACCGGCUAACUCUGUG